rnacentral:rRNA from 1 species
AAACAUGGACUAAUACCGCAUAUACUCUUGCUACAUAAGUGGCGUAGAGGAAAGGAGCAAUCCGCUUUACGAUGAGCCUGCGGCCUAUUAGCCUGUUGGUGGGGUAACGGCCUACCAAAGCUACGAUAGGUAGCCGACCUGAGAGGGUGACCGGCCACAUUGGGACUGAGAUACGGCCCAGACUCCUACGGGAGGCAGCAGCUGAGAAUCUUCCACAAUGGACGAAAGUCUGAUGGAGCGACAUCGCGUGAGGGAUGAAGGCCUUCGGGUUGUAAACCUCGGAAAUUAUCGAAGAAUGAGUGACAGUAGAUAAUGUAAGCCUCGGCUAACUACGUGCCAGCAGCCGCGGUAAUACGUAGGAGGCAAACGUUGCUCGGAUUUACUGGGCGUAAAGGGUGAGUAGGCGGACUUAUAAGUCUAAGGUGAAAGACCGAAGCUCAACUUCGGGAACGCCUCGGAUACUGUAAGUCUUGGAUAUUGUAGGGGAUGAUGGAAUUCUCGGUGUAGCGGUGGAAUGCGCAGAUAUCGAGAGGAACACCUAUAGCGAAGGCAGUCAUCUGGGCAUUUAUCGACGCUGAAUCACGAAAGCUAGGGUAGCAAACAGGCUUAGAUACCCUGGUAGUCCUAGCCGUAAACGUUGUACACUAGGUGCUUCUAUCUAAAUAGGAGUGCCGUAGCUAACGUCUUAAGUGUACCGCCUGAGGAGUAUGCCCGCAAGGGUGAAACUCAAAGAAAUUGACGGGUCCCCGCACAAGUGGUGGAGCAUGUGGUUUAAUUCGAUGAUACGCGAAAAACCUUACCUGGGUUUGAAUUGUAAGAUGAAUGAUUUAGAGAUAAGUCAGACCGCAAGGACGUUUUACAUAGGUGCUGCAUGCCUGUCGUCAGCUCGUGUCGUGAGAUGUUGGGUUAAGUCCCGCAACGAGCGCAACCCUCACCCUUUGUUGCUACCGAGUAAUGUCGGGCACUCUUAGGGGACUGCCUACGUUCAAGUAGGAGGAAGGUGGGGAUGAUGUCAAGUCCUCAUGGCCCUUAUGUCCAGGGCUACACACGUGCUACAAUGGCAAGUACAAAGAGAUGCGAGACCGCGAGGUGGAGCGAAACUCAAAAAAGUUGCCUCAGUUCGGAUUGGAGUCUGAAACUCGACUCCAUGAAGUUGGAAUCACUAGUAAUCGUAGAUCAGAACGCUACGGUGAAUACGUUCCCGGGGAUUGUACACACCGCCC